UGCAAGUCGAACGAACUCUGGUAUUGAUUGGUGCUUGCAUCAUGAUUUACAUUUGAGUGAGUGGCGAACUGGUGAGUAACACGUGGGAAACCUGCCCAGAAGCGGGGGAUAACACCUGGAAACAGAUGCUAAUACCGCAUAACAACUUGGACCGCAUGGUCCGAGCUUGAAAGAUGGCUUCGGCUAUCACUUUUGGAUGGUCCCGCGGCGUAUUAGCUAGAUGGUGGGGUAACGGCUCACCAUGGCAAUGAUACGUAGCCGACCUGAGAGGGUAAUCGGCCACAUUGGGACUGAGACACGGCCCAAACUCCUACGGGAGGCAGCAGUAGGGAAUCUUCCACAAUGGACGAAAGUCUGAUGGAGCAACGCCGCGUGAGUGAAGAAGGGUUUCGGCUCGUAAAACUCUGUUGUUAAAGAAGAACAUAUCUGAGAGUAACUGUUCAGGUAUUGACGGUAUUUAACCAGAAAGCCACGGCUAACUACGUGCCAGCAGCCGCGGUAAUACGUAGGUGGCAAGCGUUGUCCGGAUUUAUUGGGCGUAAAGCGAGCGCAGGCGGUUUUUUAAGUCUGAUGUGAAAGCCUUCGGCUCAACCGAAGAAGUGCAUCGGAAACUGGGAAACUUGAGUGCAGAAGAGGACAGUGGAACUCCAUGUGUAGCGGUGAAAUGCGUAGAUAUAUGGAAGAACACCAGUGGCGAAGGCGGCUGUCUGGUCUGUAACUGACGCUGAGGCUCGAAAGUAUGGGUAGCAAACAGGAUUAGAUACCCUGGUAGUCCAUACCGUAAACGAUGAAUGCUAAGUGUUGGAGGGUUUCCGCCCUUCAGUGCUGCAGCUAACGCAUUAAGCAUUCCGCCUGGGGAGUACGGCCGCAAGGCUGAAACUCAAAGGAAUUGACGGGGGCCCGCACAAGCGGUGGAGCAUGUGGUUUAAUUCGAAGCUACGCGAAGAACCUUACCAGGUCUUGACAUACUAUGCAAAUCUAAGAGAUUAGACGUUCCCUUCGGGGACAUGGAUACAGGUGGUGCAUGGUUGUCGUCAGCUCGUGUCGUGAGAUGUUGGGUUAAGUCCCGCAACGAGCGCAACCCUUAUUAUCAGUUGCCAGCAUUAAGUUGGGCACUCUGGUGAGACUGCCGGUGACAAACCGGAGGAAGGUGGGGAUGACGUCAAAUCAUCAUGCCCCUUAUGACCUGGGCUACACACGUGCUACAAUGGAUGGUACAACGAGUUGCGAACUCGCGAGAGUAAGCUAAUCUCUUAAAGCCAUUCUCAGUUCGGAUUGUAGGCUGCAACUCGCCUACAUGAAGUCGGAAUCGCUAGUAAUCGCGGAUCAGCAUGCCGCGGUGAAUACGUUCCCGGGCCUUGUACACACCGCCCGUCACACCAUGAGAGUUUGUAACACCCAAAGUCGGUGGGGUAACCUUUUAGGAAC
rnacentral:rRNA from 2 species